rnacentral:rRNA from 1 species
UGCAAGUCGAGCGCGGGAAGCGAACGGAACUCUUCGGAGGGAAGUUCGUGGAACGAGCGGCGGACGGGUGAGUAACACGUAGGCAACCUGCCUGUAAGACUGGGAUAACUCGCGGAAACGCGAGCUAAUACCGGAUAAUACUUAUUGUCACCUGAUGAUAAGUUGAAAGGCGGCUUUUGCUGUCACUUACAGAUGGGCCUGCGGCGCAUUAGCUAGUUGGUGAGGUAACGGCUCACCAAGGCAACGAUGCGUAGCCGACCUGAGAGGGUGAUCGGCCACACUGGGACUGAGACACGGCCCAGACUCCUACGGGAGGCAGCAGUAGGGAAUCUUCCGCAAUGGACGAAAGUCUGACGGAGCAACGCCGCGUGAGUGAUGAAGGUUUUCGGAUCGUAAAACUCUGUUGUUAGGGAAGAACAAGUGCCAUAGUAACUGAUGGCACCUUGACGGUACCUAACCAGAAAGCCACGGCUAACUACGUGCCAGCAGCCGCGGUAAUACGUAGGUGGCAAGCGUUGUCCGGAAUUAUUGGGCGUAAAGCGCUCGCAGGCGGUUCUUUAAGUCUGAUGUGAAAUCUUGCAGCUCAACUGUAAACGUGCAUUGGAAACUGGAGGACUUGAGUGCAGAAGAGGAGAGUGGAAUUCCACGUGUAGCGGUGAAAUGCGUAGAGAUGUGGAGGAACACCAGUGGCGAAGGCGACUCUCUGGUCUGUAACUGACGCUGAGGAGCGAAAGCGUGGGGAG